rnacentral:rRNA from 1 species
UACGUAGGGGGCAAGCGUUGUCCGGAUUUAUUGGGCGUAAAGAGCGUGUAGGCGGCCAGACAGGUCCGUUGUGAAAACUCGAGGCUCAACCUCGAGAUGUCGAUGGAAACCGUCUGGCUAGAGUCCGGAAGAGGAGUGUGGAAUUCCUGGUGUAGCGGUGAAAUGCGCAGAUAUCUGGAGGAACACCAGUGGCGAAGGCGGCAUCCUGGACCGGUAUUGACGCUGAGGCGCGAAAGCUAGGGUAGCAAACGGG